CUCCAGACCCCAGCAGAGUGUCCAACGGUUCCAUUCCAUUCUGCCCUGAACUACCUGGAAUUGGUCCAGACCCCACAGGUCAGGGACUCAGCCCACAAGACGGCCCCGCACUUCAGAUGCCAAUCACAGAUCGGGGCCUCCAGUGCGUCUGACUGACUGGCCAUUAAUAGAAGGCUCCUACAGCCCCUCCCUCCUCAAGUUUGAUAAUUUGCUAGAAUGCGUCACAGAACACAGGGAAGUGCUUUACUUACUAUUACUACUUUAUUACAAAGGCUUCAACUCAGGAACAGCCACAAAGAAGAGGUGCACAGGGCCAGGAGGAGGCUUCUGUUCAGCAGCAAUUUGGAUACAAACCCAGCAAGGUUCCUAUUUUAAAAUCCUGGCUGAGAGUAGCGGCUCGUGCCUGCAAUCCCAGCACUUUGGAGUCUGAAUUGGAAGGAUCUCUUGAGGACAGGAGUUCAAGACCAGCCUGGGCAACAUGGAGAAACCCCUGUGUCUACAAAAAUGUUUUUAGUUAAAAAUAAAUAAAUAAAAUUCUGUGAUUUCA
rnacentral:lncRNA from 1 species